GCCUGAGUGGCUCAGUGGUUGAGCAUCUGCCUUCAGCUCAGGCCAUGAUCCCUGGGUCCUGGGAUCAAGUCCCAGAUCGGGCU
rfam:Canis lupus familiaris chromosome 25, whole genome shotgun sequence.